CAAUAGCGUAUAUUUAAGUUGAUGCAGUUAAAAAGCUCGUAGUUGGAUUUCGGUUAAGAGCGACCGGUCCGCCGUUUGGUGUGCACUGGUUGGUUUUAACUUCCUGUAGAGGACGUGCUCUGGGUUUAACGACCUGGACUCGGAGUCUACGUGGUUACUUUGAAAAAAUUAGAGUGUUCAAAGCGGGCUUACGCUUGAAUAUUUCAGCAUGGAAUAACACUAUAGGACUCCUGUCCUAUUUCGUUGGUCUCGGGACGGGAGUAAUGAUUAAGAGGAACAGUUGGGGGCAUUCGUAUUUCAUUGUCAGAGGUGAAAUUCUUGGAUUUAUGAAAGACGAACUUCUGCGAAAGCAUUUGCCAAGGAUGUUUNCAUUAA
rnacentral:rRNA from 1 species